CUCAACUUAAAUUCUUAAUUCCAAAUAGAGAAAUAAAAUUUAAACAAUGGACAAGAGGUAUGCAUAACUGGGACAUCUUGGUAAGGCUUGGCUAAUCACUGUCUUGGUUCUUCAAGGUCACCCAAAGAACACCCUAUUGUCUGAAGGGGCUGCUUCUGUUGUGGCUGGAAUCAAAGACUGGGACAACGACAUCUCUGCUUUAACAAGUUCAUGUAAAGAACCACGUACCAUCCAAAGGCCCGGGGAAGAAAUUACAGGUAAAGAACAAGCCCAAGGGUCUCACUAUGUAGCCCUGUCCAUCCUGGAACUUGCUACAUAAACAUAAAAGACUGGCUUCAAACUCACAGAGAUUCACCUGACUGCCUCCAAACUGCUGGGAUUAGAGGCGUGUCCCCCAACAUGCCUGCUGAUAAAUUCGUCAGAAAGUAUAUCCUAAAGUGAACCAUUCAUCUCACCUGCUAUGCAAGACUUCAACUGUGAUGGUGACACAGAUGGAAAAUGGACUGGAGCUUUACUGACAGUCAGUGGUUCUAGGUCAGCCUCGGUAUGCAGGAUUCACAAAGUGAAGUUGGAGAAGGAGAACUGAAGUCUAAGAACUUGCAGGUGAACAGGGAAAAUUACAUUUGAAAGGAAGCGAAACCACACAAGCCCUAGAUGCACCAUUGGUAAAUUCCUCAACUUCCAAAGAAGGAUUUCACUGUGUGGACUCUUGUGGAUGGAACAGAG
rnacentral:lncRNA from 1 species